UACGUAGGGGUGCAAGCGUUUGUUCGGAAUUACUGGGCGUAAAGGGCGCGUAGGCGGCUUAUCAAGUCAGGCGUGAAAUUCCCGGGCUCAACCUGGGGGCUGCGCUUGAUACUGAUUGGCUUGAAUGCGGGAGAGGAUAGUGGAAUUCCCAGUGUAGAGGUGAAAUUCGUAGAUAUUGGGAAGAACACCGGUGGCGAAGGCGGCUAUCUGGCCCGUAAUUGACGCUGAGGCGCGAAAGCGUGGGGAGCAAACAGG
rnacentral:rRNA from 1 species